UAUAGAUGGUUCUGCUAUCAGUUCUAUUCUGUAUAGAUGGUUCUGCUAUCAGUUCUAUUCUGUAUAGAUGGUUCUGCUAUCAGUUCUAUUCUGUAUAGAUGGUUCUGCUAUCAGUACUAUUCUGUAUAGAUGGUUCUGCUAUCAGUUCUAUACUGUAUAGAUGGUUCUGCUAUAUGUCAGUUCUAUACUGUAUUGAUGGUCCUGCUAUCAGUUCUAUACUGUAUAGAUGGUUCUGCUAUCAGUUCUAUACUGUGUAGAUGGUCCUGCUAUCAGUUCUAUACUGUAUUGAUGGUCCUGCUAUCAGUUCUAUACUGUAUAGAUGGUUCUGCUAUCAGUUCUAUACUGUAUAGAUGGUUCUGCUAUCAGUUCUAUACUGUGUAGAUGGUUCUGCUAUCAGUUCUAUACUGUAUAGAUGGCUCUGCUAUAUGUCAGUUCUAUACUGUAUAGAUUGUUCUGCUAUCAGUUCUAUGCUGUAUAGAUGGUUCUGCUAUAUGUCAGUUCUGUUCUGUAUAGAUGGUUCUGCUAUAUGUCAGUUCUAUACUAUAUAGAUGGUUCUGCUAUCAGUUCUAUACUGUAUAGAUGGUUCUGCUAUAUGUCAGUUCUAUACUGUAUUGAUGGUCCUGCUAUCAGUUCUAUACUGUAUAGAUGGUUCUGCUAUAUGUCAGUUCUGUUCGGUAUAGAUGGUUCUGCUAUAUGUCAGUUCUAUACUGUAUUGAUGGUUCUGCUAUCAUUUCUAUACUGUGUAGAUGGUUCUGCUAUCAGUUCUAUACUGUGUAGAUGGUUCUGCUAUCAGUUCUAUACUGUAUAGAUGGUUCUGCUAUCAGUUCUAUACUGUGUAGAUGGUUCUGCUAUAUGUCAGUUCUUUUCUGUAUAGAUGGUUCUGCUAUAUGUCAGUUCUGUUCUGUAUAGAUGGCUCUGCUAUAUGUGAAUAUGUGAAUAAAAU
rnacentral:lncRNA from 1 species